CCUACGGGAGGCUGCAGUGAGGAAUAUUGGUCAAUGGACGCAAGCCUGAACCAGCCAAGCCGCGUGCAGGAUGACGGCCCUAUGAGUUGUAAACUUCUUUUGUACGGGGGUAAAGGCAGGCACGUGUACCUGUCUGAAAGUACUUUAUGAAUAAGGAUCGGCUAACUCCGUGCCAGCAGCCGCGGUAAUACGGAGGAUUCAAGCGUUAUCCGGAUUUAUUGGGUUUAAAGGGUGCGUAGGCGGGCUGUUAAGUCAGUGGUGAAAGUCCGCGGCUCAACCUCGGAAUUGCAAUUGAUACUGGUCGUCUUGAGAGUAGUUGAGGUAGGCGGAAUGCGUGGUGUAGCGGUGAAAUGCUUAGAGAUC
rnacentral:rRNA from 1 species